rnacentral:lncRNA from 1 species
GGAGAGUUAACUAGAACACAAUAGGAUUGGCGAAUCGAUCACAACCCUGGAAUAUCUGUCUCUACUGAAUACACAAUUAUCUUACUACUUGAUAAUUUAGUUACUACUUAGAAUUAUAGUUUAGUAUAAUCAUAUUCUUGAACUCGAUUUUGGCUUAACUGAAUAACAAUCUUGGUGAUUUUAGUGGGUAGUUGAUACAAGUCUCUUUGGGUUCGACACUCAACUUAUCAUUUUAUUACUUGUACGAUCACGUAUACUUGCGUAUGCGUUUGGGAGCGACAAGUUUUUGGCGCCGUCAUAACGGACUUGGAAGAAUUCCCGAACUCCCCAUCCUUACGAACUAGUUCAAUCAUGUGUGUCUCUGCAUGGGCUGGCAAUUUUGGUUGAUGUUUGGCGUAUUCGGGCUCUGGACUACAAUUUGAUUUGUGUCAAUAAGAUCUUGGAUUGCCCUCUCCAAAUUCCAACACUUCUUUAUGUCGUGCCCCGGGGCAUUAGAACAAUAUGUGCACCUCAGAGAAUAAUCAAGGUUCUUUGGGGGUGGAUUCGGUAUCUUUGCCUCAAUCGGCCUCAGCACAUCCAAUUACCUCAACCUUUGAAAUAAAUUGGCACAGGGCUCUCCAAGAGGGGUGAAAGUUUCUUUCUGUUGCUGCCUUUCUCUUUUAUACUCCGGCCUGGGUCGAAAGUUUAGGCCAGUAGGGUUUUGUUAGGGUUGUGGGGGUGGAUAAGGGUUUUGUGGGGCUGGCGCAUGCCAUUGCGGGUAAGGAGGGGGUUAAGCAUAUGAUUGUGCGUGGUGAACAUGGUACUAGGGUGGUCUGACUGAGUAUUGAGGGUCUUGUGGUGGGAAAUUAUGUUGGGGUGGAUUAUAUGGAGCUUGGGUGUAGUCUUGGGGUUGGGGUAGAGGCUGAGUGUACUGGUGAGGCAGACCCCUUGGGCCACGCCAUGGUCCAGAGAUAACCAUUGCAACAUCAUCAUUUUUCUUCUUGCCUAACAAACCUUCCAUUCUAGAUUGCCUGCGUGGUUGCUUUUAUAGUGGAGUAGCUCAUGAUCUUGCUUGACUUGAGUCCCUCAUCCGCCAUUUCUCCCAUCUUUACCACAUCAAUAAAGGCUUACCCAUGACUAAGAUCAAGUGGCCAAAGUAAGUAGGCUCUUAAGCUUGGAGAAAAUACUUAACCAUCUCGUCUCCAUCGGAGGAUUGACCUGGACAGCUUAUUCUCUCCAUCUGAUCUGUAUUCCCUAAAGCUUUCAUUAGGCUUCUUUUGCAUCUUGGUCAGGGACAGGCGAUCCAGGACAAUUUCUAUAUUGUACUGAAAGUGCCGGGAAAAGGCCUCAGCCAUAUCGUCCCAUAUGUACCACCUGCACGCAUCUUGUCGGGUGUACCAUUCCAAGGCAACACCAAUCAAGCUAUGACUAAAAUAGGCCAUUAACAGCUCGUCUUUCCCGCUGGCCCCUCUCAUCUUGCUACAAUAACCUCUCAAAUGAGCCACUGGAUCCCCAUGUCCGUCAUACAAGUCAAACUUUGGCAUCUUAAAUCCAGCGGGCAGUUGAAAAUCAGGGAACAAGCAUAAGUCCUUGUAAGACACACUUACUUGGCUCCCUAUUCCUUGCAUGUUUCUCAAAGACUGCUCUAGACUCUUCACCUACCUGGAUAUAUCGUCUUGCUCCACAUUCUUAGCAGGCUUUUCAGUUUCAACGGGAGGCUCGAAGUGAGGGCUAUAGCAAUAGGGAUCCGACACCUUGAAAGUUGGUUCUGGAGCAUAGUAUUGGGCAUCAGGAACUUUGAACGCGGGUUCACUAGAAGAUCGAUGGAUGGUAGCUUGUGGAGGAGCUACAAAAACAUGAGUGGUUAAUGGAGUAGGAUAUGAGGUUGUUUUGGCUGGUGGAGCAUGAAGAGGUUGGGACGAUGUGCUAGGGUAGUUGUGGUAAGGGGUAAAGUCUGGUGCAUGUUGUGGGGAAAGAUCGACAGUAGUGGGAAUCUGGGCUU